GACGAACGCUGGCGGCGUGCUUAACACAUGCAAGUCGAACGGAAAGGCCCUGCUUUUGUGGGGUGCUCGAGUGGCGAACGGGUGAGUAACACGUGAGUAACCUGCCCUUGACUUUGGGAUAACUUCAGGAAACUGGGGCUAAUACCGGAUAGGAGCUCCUGCUGCAUGGUGGGGGUUGGAAAGUUUCGGCGGUUGGGGAUGGACUCGCGGCUUAUCAGCUUGUUGGUGGGGUAGUGGCUUACCAAGGCUUUGACGGGUAGCCGGCCUGAGAGGGUGACCGGCCACAAUGGGACUGAGAUACAGCCCAGACUCCUACGGGAGGCAGCAGUGGGGAAUAUUGCACAAUGGGCGGAAGCCUGAUGCAGCAACGCCGCGUGCGGGAUGACGGCCUUCGGGUUGUAAACCGCUUUCGCCUGUGACGAAGCGUGAGUGACGGUAAUGGGUAAAGAAGCACCGGCUAACUACGUG
rnacentral:rRNA from 1 species